ACCAGGAGGCUCACAAAGCCCAGCAAGUAGAAGUGCCAGUGGUGCCUGGUGCACAGGGGUAAGGGAAGGAUAACCCUGAGCAGUGGUCCAGGCUGGGAAGUGACUGGUGGAGUUGCUGGAUGGGACUCAGAGGUAACUGCACAUGAACUUGAGCACAGGCCAAAAGUAAUUCUGACUGUGAACAAUGCAAACAGCUUAAUGGGCUGUACGAGGAGAACAGCCAGCCCAGCGGAGGGGUGUUGGAGGCUCUUGUGUUUCUGUGAGUCCAAAAAGUUCUUCCAAGAUAAUGCAUUAUAAUAAGGAGAAACGAGUGAUGAUGCUGGCAAAGUGCAAGAAAAAUUCCUUCACGAACCUUCGCAGACCUGCCAAGAUCACAGGUUGUCAAACCGGUGGAAUCCCAAGUGUUUCAGCAGGAAGACCAAAGUGGGCAGGCAUGCUGGCAGAAGGUGGCAGGCAAGAUGUUUUGCUGUGUGUUAGGCACUGGAGUGAACACUAUACAGCUUGAUGGCAUGGCCCAGAGUUUCCUGGAUGUUACUUGAAAGAGGAUAAUCACUUACUCAUGUGCAACCAGCAACCACAUGGAAGCUGCUCACAAAAGAAGCCACAGCCUUUGCUAACAAAGGAACUCCUUUCUGUUUUAUUUUUCCAACCAAAAUUCCCAAAACAAAGUAAUUAAAUUUCUCCCUUUGUUCUGGC